rnacentral:rRNA from 1 species
UACGUAGGGUGCAAGCGUUAUCCGGAAUUACUGGGCGUAAAGCGUGCGCAGGCGGUUAUGUAAGACAGUUGUGAAAUCCCCGGGCUCAACCUGGGAACUGCAUCUGUGACUGCAUAGCUAGAGUACGGUAGAGGGGGAUGGAAUUCCGCGUGUAGCAGUGAAAUGCGUAGAUAUGCGGAGGAACACCGAUGGCGAAGGCAAUCCCCUGGACCUGUACUGACGCUCAUGCACGAAAGCGUGGGGAGCAAACAGG